rnacentral:rRNA from 1 species
UACGUAGGGUGCAAGCGUUAAUCGGAAUUACUGGGCGUAAAGCGUGCGCAGGCGGUUUUGUAAGUCUGACGUGAAAUCCCCGGGCUCAACCUGGGAAUUGCAUUGGAGACUGCAAGGCUAGAAUCUGGCAGAGGGGGGUAGAAUUCCACGUGUAGCAGUGAAAUGCGUAGAGAUGUGGAGGAACACCGAUGGCGAAGGCAGCCCCCUGGGUCAAGAUUGACGCUCAUGCACGAAAGCAUGGGGAGCAAACAGG